GGAUGCGAUCAUACCAGCACUAAUGCACCAAAUUCCAUCAAAACUCCACAGGUAAACAUUGCUUGGGCGAAAGUAGUACUAGGGUGGGUGAUCUGCUAGGAAGUCUUCAUGUUGCACCUC
rnacentral:rRNA from 1 species